GACGAACGCUGGCGGCGUGCCUAAUACAUGCAAGUCGAACGCAGUGGGGACGGGUUAUUAACACCUGGGUAACCUCCCAUCAGAGUGGAUAACACUUGGAUACAGGUGCUAAACUUAUACUGAUGUAUGUAUCCGCUGUGGAUUAGCCAGUUGGUGAGGUAACGGCUCACCAAGUCCACGAUGCAUAGCUGACCUGAGAGGGUGAUCGGCCACACUGGGACUGAGACACGGCCCAGACUCCUACGGGAGGCAGCAGUAGGGAAUAUUGGGCAAUGGGCGAAAGUCUGACGGAGCAACGCCGCGUGAGUGAAGAAGGUUUUCGGGUCGUAAAGUACUUUUAUUGGGGAAGCGGUAUCUAAACAGAAAGCACCGGCUAACUACGUGCCAGCAGCCGCGGUAAUAC
rnacentral:rRNA from 1 species